GCUUUCUCCAUUAUCACUUGUGUGCCUCAGUGACCUUCUUGGAUGUCCUCAUGAAUGGCUCGCUGGUUGCAACUCAGUGUUGCCAGGGCAGGCUCCAACUCCCUGUGGCCCUGAACUGCAUAAGCAGAUCAGAAAAUUGAUGAAUAGAUUGAAGAAUCAUUUAAACACACGAUAAAGUGCCCCAACAGAAACAGAGAUCAUGAGCUACAAAGAAGAAAGCAUUGUAACAGGUAUCCUGUAUUGGCCCCCUGUGCCAAUGCCACCAGACCAAAGUUCUCUUCAGUUGUCUCCGAUGUUAAAAAGGAUGACUAAGAUGACACCUGCUGCUUCAAACAUUCUGGGAUGUUACGCCGUAUCGCAAUAUUAAUGAACAAGUCAGCCGCGUGUAUGAUCUGUUGAUUGGCUGGUCAGCCUUUUGACCAAGGAACCGUUUGAAGUUUAUUUCUCUAUCAUCUGUGUCACUGGACUUUUUGUUUUUCUCUGAUCCCUAGCCAUCUGACCAGAGGAUAAAGUUUCAAAAUUGCCAUUAGAGAUGUUUCUGUUUUAUCUUCCUAUAGUAAUUGAUGCACUCUGGGUUACAUUUCUCAAAAACUGUGUUACACAAUAACUUGUACUUAUACAAUAACUAGCUGUGUAAAUGUCCUUAUACAAUGGGCCUUGGUUACAGCACUGCUGGUUAAUUUGAUGGAUUAAGAGUGAAAGGGAAGGUCUACAGGAUGGCAGUGAGACCAGCUAUGUUAUAUGGGCAGGAGACGGUGGCAGUGACCAGAAAGCAGGAGACAGAGCUGGAGGUGGCAGAGUUAAAGAUGCUAAGAUUUGCAUUGGGUGUGACGAGGAUGGAUAGGAUUAGAAAUGAGUACAUUAGAAGGUCAGCUCAGGUUGGACAGUUGGGAGACAAAGUCAGAGAGGUGAGAUUGCGUUGGUUUGGACAUGUGCAGAGGAGAGAUGCUGAGUGUAUUGGGAGGAGGAUGCUAAGGAUAGAGCUGCCAGGGAAGAGGAAAAGAUGAAGGCCUAAGAGAAGGUUUAUGGAUGUGGUGAGAGAGGAUAUGCAGGUGAUGGGUGUAAGAGAACAAGAUGCAGAGGACAGAAAGAUAUGGAAGAAGAUGAUCCGCUGUGGUGACCCCUAACGGGAGCAGCCGAAAGAAGAAGAAGAAGAAGAAGAAAAGUAGCAUUUUUUUGGUUUUUUUUGUUUGUUUUUCUUUUUACCAAGGACUAAGAUUAUUAGGUUACUGGAGCUGCUACAUACAGUUGCCCAGGAGUAAAAAUGUAUUUGUGCUUUUCCUACUGACUGGCCUUGGCUUUUGAUGAUGGUAAUUGCAAAACACAAUUUUAAACGAAAGUGUAUUCUUCUGAAUUGAAAUAAGUAUUCAGUAAGAAUAAUGUUAAAUGUUUUGGGUAUAUAUUACCUAUAUAUGUGUACAUUCACUUGAGCAUCUAUUGUCGUGUUUUCUUUAGUUGUUUGUUCAACUUCUGUUUUUUUGUAAUUUGUUUAUUUUUUUCAUUUUAUUAAUAUGACUUUAUCCAGAAAGCCAUUGCCAGAACAAUAAGGUUCUAACACUGAAGUGUGUUUUACUCUAACUUAUUACAAACAGCAAUGAAGUUUAUAGACUGCACAUCUAUGUGUCCCAUAUAAUGAAUUAAAUGUUUUUAAUUUUAGGGUUGCUUUCUCCCUAUAAAUGUAUUGUAGUGACCUUUUAAUGAGUAGAAAAAAGAAAACACAGGAGUCGCUAACGUACAUAACAAAGUGAGGAGCUUAUUAUGAAGGGGUGAUGCUCAAUACAGGAGAGAAGCAACAAUUGUGCAGAAAAGAACAGAUGAAAAGAAAUAAAAUAUCAUAAACUAUGUACAAUGUCCAUCUCAACUCUGUCCUGGUUGUGGGGAACCCGUUAAUUGAGCCGCUCUAAAUGACUAAUGAGUGCGGUCACCCCUGGUUUAUCCUGGUCCCAAGGACG